UCCUUCCCCAACACUCUCUCUCUCUCUCGGACGAAUUGUCCUCCGCCGCCGCUGCCGUUCAACGGCGCCGUCGCCGCCGGCGAGCGGCUCAGCUCUCCCUCUCUGGGCAUCCCGUCUCUCUGAACCCUCUCUCUCCUUCCUCUCUCAAUCGUUCAUCUCUCUCUCUCUAGACUGCCGAGACAAGGCGGCAGACGCAACCACCGCGGUGCGCCACCGCUGUCCCUGUUCUCCCUUUCCCUCUCUCGGCCUCCGGCGAAGCAACCAUCGCGGUGCCGCCGCCGUGAACCAGGUAAAACCUAACUCCCUCUCUACUUUCCUCAUCUUCUUCCCCCUUUUAAAUUAAAACUGAAAACUCCUCUCUCUCUCUUCCGAUUUGGCUGAAUCGGAGCAACGGCGACGUCACGGCUAUCACGUUACCGCCGCCGCCGCCGACGACGAGCCACCAUGGCUCCGCCGCCGACCGCCGUCUGAAAACAGAACGGAGACCACCCUGUGGCUCCGCCGCCGGCAGCCGCAGCGGCUGCCGCCCCCUGAUUCCAUCACUCACGUAUGCAGAACACGGCUCAGCCCCAAAUUCAGUCAUAGCAUAGAUGAUUUGAGCAAAAUUCAUACAUAGUCAGGAAGUAAUUAUCUCUAUAUGUCCAUGUAAAAAGUCAAGAUCUUUAAUUGUUCUUCAAUUAAUCACACUGCAUAUAAACACCUCACUUGUAAAUUCAGCCUUUCGAACAUCAAUGUUUAAAACGAGUUUAUACACAAGUUGUAUGCACAUAAAGAGGAAUAUGAGCAGUUGUAUGCGUUGGUGGUU